ACUCUAGCCCACCAGAUUCCUCUGUCAAUGGGAUUUCCCAGGCAAGAAUACUGGACCUGUAAACUGGAGUAUAUCUUUGUCUAGUGCGAUGGUCAAAAGUGAUGACAUAGUAACAGGAGACUUUAUUCAAAAGGAUUAUUGCAGGGGAGGCACUAUUGCCCUGGG